rnacentral:rRNA from 1 species
UACCCGUGCCACGAGUGGUAACCGUGUUUAUUGGGUUUAAAGUGUUCGUAGCCGGUCUGACAAGUUUUCAAUGAAAUUCCACAGCUAACUGUGGAGCUUGUUGGGAAUACUGCCAGACUUGAGACCGGGAGAGGUCAAGGGUAUUCCAGGGGUAGGGGUAAAAUCCUGUAAUCCUUGGAAGACCACCUGUGGCGAAGGCGCUUGACUAGAACGGAUCUGACGGUGAGGGACGAAAGCUAGGGGAGCGAAGCGGAUUAGAUACCCGCGUA